ensembl:lncRNA
GGAACCCAUGCCAGUAUUCUUGCCUGGAGAAUCCCCAUGGACAGAGGAACCUGGAAGGCUGCAGUCCUUGGGGUUAGAAAGAGUCGAAGCAACUAAGCACAGCACAGCAAUAAGGAUAUCUGGGUAUUUCUUUGAAUCAAUGGAGGCUCCUAUGAAACAAAAUGUUACUUCAAACUGGGAGUACACUGUGUCUCCAAGUUGGACAAUUGGUGUCAUAGCAACCAGCUCCAGCCUUAAGGAAAGGCAGAGAAAGAAUUUCUGUGGUCGAUGCAGUUAACUGGAGGCUGGAGCCUCCUGGCAACUCUCUGCACCUAUGAUAUCUGUAUAUACUUGGUCUUCUCCCUUGGGACACAAACAUUCUCAACACUGACCUACAACCAGCUGCCAUCCUUGAAUAAGAUACUUUCUCUGAUCACCCCCUGCCUGAAGGCCUCUCUCUCUGAACACUGAAACCCUUAAACCUUGCCAGUUGGUAACUGGCUAUUCC